rnacentral:rRNA from 1 species
UGGGGAAUAUUGCGCAAUGGGCGAAAGCCUGACGCAGCGACGCCGCGUGGGUGAUGAAGGCCUUCGGGUCGUAAAGCCCUGUCGGGAGGGACGAAACCUCGGUGACCUAAUACGUCACCGACCUGACGGUACCUCUUAAGGAAGCACCGGCUAACUCCGUGCCAGCAGCCGCGGUAAUACGUAGGGGGCAAGCGUUGUCCGGAUUUACUGGGUGUAAAGGGCGCGCAGGCGGGAUAAAAAGUCGGUGGUGAAAUCCUACAGCUUAACUGUAGAACUGUCUUUGNUACUUUUAUUCUUGAGUUCGGGAGAGAGAGACGGAAUUCCAGGUGUAGUGGUGAAAUACGUAGAUAUCUGGAAGAACACCAGUUGCGAAGGCGGUCUCUUGGUCCGACACUGACGCUGAGGCGCGAAAGCGUGGGGAGCAAACA